rnacentral:rRNA from 2 species
CCAGACUCCUACCGGAAGCAGCAGUAGGGAAUCUCUCGCAAUGAACGAAAGUCUGACGGAGCAACGCCGCGUGAGUGAUGACGGUUUUCGGAUCGUAAAGCUCUGUUAUUAGGGAAGAACAAGUGCGAGAGUAACUGCUCGCACCUUGACGGUACCUAACCAGAAAGCCACGGCUAACUACGUGCCAGCAGCCGCGGUAAUACGUAGGUGGCAAGCGUUGUCCGGAAUUAUUGGGCGUAAAGGGCUCGCAGGCGGUUUCUUAAGUCUGAUGUGAAAGCCCCCGGCUCAACCGGGGAGGGUCAUUGGAAACUGGGAAACUUGAGUGCAGAAGAGGAGAGUGGAAUUCCACGUGUAGCGGUGAAAUGCGUAGAGAUGUGGAGGAACACCAGUGGCGAAGGCGACUCUCUGGUCUGUAACUGACGCUGAGGAGCGAAAGCGUGGGGAGCGAACAGGAUUAGAUACCCUGGUAGUCCACGCCGUAAACGAUGAGUGCUAAGUGUUAGGGGGUUUCCGCCCCUUAGUGCUGCAGCUAACGCAUUAAGCACUCCGCCUGGGGAGUACGGUCGCAAGACUGAAACUCAAAGGAAUUGACGGGGGCCCGCACAAGCGGUGGAGCAUGUGGUUUAAUUCGAAGCAACGCGAAGAACCUUACCAGGUCUUGACAUCCUCUGACAACCCUAGAGAUAGGGCUUUCCCUUCGGGGACAGAGUGACAGGUGGUGCAUGGUUGUCGUCAGCUCGUGUCGUGAGAUGUUGGGUUAAGUCCCGCAACGAGCGCAACCCUUGAUUUUAGUUGCCAGCAUUCAGUUGGGCACUUUAAGGUGACUGCCGGUGACAAACCGGAGGAAGGUGGGGAUGACGUCAAAUCAUCAUGCCCCUUAUGAC